GGAGGUGUAGCGGAAUUGGUAAACGCCAGUCUCAACCUGUUUGCAGGUUCAAGUCCUACCACCUCCC
rnacentral:tRNA from 1 species